rnacentral:rRNA from 1 species
CGCGUAGGUAACCUGCCUGGUAGCGGGGGAUAACUAUUGGAAACGAUAGCUAAUACCGCAUAAUAGCAGUUGUUGCAUGACAACUGUUUGAAAGGUGCAAUUGCACCACUACCAGAUGGACCUGCGUUGUAUUAGCUAGUUGGUGGGGUAACGGCUCACCAAGGCGACGAUACAUAGCCGACCUGAGAGGGUGAUCGGCCACACUGGGACUGAGACACGGCCCAG